CCUACGGGGGGCAGCAGUGAGGAAUAUUGGUCAAUGGGCGCGAGCCUGAACCAGCCAAGUAGCGUGAAGGAUGACUGCCCUACGGGUUGUAAACUUCUUUUAUAAAGGAAUAAAGUGAUGCACGUGUGCCAUUUUGUAUGUACUUUAUGAAUAAGGAUCGGCUAACUCCGUGCCAGCAGCCGCGGUAAUACGGAGGAUCCGAGCGUUAUACGGAUUUAUUGGGUUUAAAGGGAGCGUAGCUGGUAUGUUAAGUCAGUUGUGAAAGUUUGCGGCUCAACCGUAAAAUUGCAGUUGAUACUGGUAGUGUUGAGUACAUGUGAGGUGGGCGGAAGUCGUGGUGUAGCGGUGCAGUGCUUAGA
rnacentral:rRNA from 1 species